CCUAGGCGUCGGGAAAUGGGUGUCUACCUGAGGCCGACGCUGCUCGGGAUCGAUUGGCAUUGUUCACCAUCAAUCAUUGCCAGUGCUACAGCAUCCAUUGGCAAUGGCUAGAAGACAUGCUGAAGAUCAAAUGGUAUGGGGGUUACUCCUGCACAAGGGGAUUCCAGAGACCAGCAUGGAAAAGCUAUGUGAAUGACUUCAGCUGCCAAUCACAACAGUUACAAGGGUGUUUAGAUGGCUGUCAUUUAGGUCAGCAAGGUCAACUUCAGAGAGCUGAGGAUGGGAUCCAUAUAAGUGCACAAACCCUACUUUUCUCUCCACUUGUUGGUUCAGCUGAGCUUAACAGGUUAAUCCGGACUCUGGUAACCCUUUUCAGUCCUUGUACAAAGUAUCUCAACAGGGGCUGCAACAAGUUAUAAUUGCUUACAAGCAAUACAGUGAAGAUUUGCUGUGGAAUUUGCCGGAUAUCAUUAGUUAAAUCUGCUAAUAUUAACCUUCAUAACAAAUCCCUUUACCUAGUCUUCCUGAAAUAGUAAAAAACUGCAAUCACGAUGCAAUAUAAACAUACUGACCUAAAAAUCAGUGAUGUUCCCAGUACCUGACAUAUGACAGAGAGAUGUCCAAGCUAGUAUUAUUAAAAUUGUAAUAACUUUAAUAAUAAUAAUAAUAAAUUUUAUUUAUAUAGCGCCUUUCCCAUGCUCAAGGCACUUAGAGAAUAUAAGAAAGAAUGGCAGGGUAUACAGUAUAUAGCAUAUAUAUAACUUUAUUUAAUUCUGCUAAACUUUAACUUUUUCUGUAGUAUUGUUUAAAGGUUUGUGCAUAUUUUCUGUUUCUGGCGGAGGUGUCCUCCUCUAGCUAACUCAUUUCCAUACAAUAAGUAGGUUUGGAGGGGAAACACAGGUCAACUUUAACAGAAGUUAUUCAGAUGGUGUCUUACUCAGGCCAGUUUCUCAUGCUGAAGAGAGUUCAUGGGAUUUACAGCCCAGGUGUGUUGUCAAAGCAAGCAGUUUCUACACUGAAAUGGUUAAAGUUUAAACUUAAAGCUGAAGAAAGGUUGAAGUUAUCUGGCUUUUGUUUAAAAUGUAUUGAUUGACAAAAAUAGUUUUGCAUUAUAUUACAAAUCCACUUCUUGAAGUGCAUCUUAUCUUCACAAGGAUCUGAAUUAAAUUAUGUUUUAGCAUAUGAAAUUAUUUGUAUCUUUUCCUAACUGUUAGUAUUGAUUACUAAUUAUAUAAUUUACUUUGCUCUGUAUGAUUUUGACAUGCUACAGCAGGGCAUAAGCAAUGCACAGGUAAAUUAUAUCAGAAGUUUUUGGUUAUAUAUUAUUAUAUUGUCUAUAUUACCAGCAUAUAUAUCAAGGAAUUAGCUAAGCAGAUGAUGUCCGAUUAAAUAAUAAAAUAAUACAUAUAUAGUUACAAAAUUUCCACAUUUUCUAUUGCAAGUUUGAAUCAUAUAAAAAUAAUACCUAUUUAAGAAAAUUCAUACAAAAAGCACAAAAAAAGUUUACAAUUGUAGGCUGGGUCAUGUGAAUAGUUGUUUCUGACCUUUCAACCUCUGAUGACCCCAGCUCCUUGUAAACUUGCAGUGAAGUCUUGGAAAACAGACACACAGAUGUUUUUUUUUAGAAAUUGAAAUUUGCCUUUUCUGCUUUUAACCAAUCUGUUCAUAGAAAAUUUUUCCAGGAUUCUUGAGUAUAUUCCAACUGAAUGUUAGCAGCUUUCAGGUGUCCUUAUUACUUUCAUCUUGUUACUCUGCUAAGAAUAUGGUUUUUGCUCAAAGUUAUGGUGUUACUAGCCCUAACCUAGGCCAAAGGAAUGGUCUAGUACAGAUCCCUAGAUAUUUUUAUGGGUGAUUUAUGAUGUCAUGAAAUAUUUUAAACUUUGAUCUGAAAGUUAAUCCUGUAAAGUUUGACUACACUCUCAAACCUUGUCCAUUUGGUGGUUCUGGGGACCCCCAAACUUAUUUCCUGACCAACAGAGGUGAAAAAACUUUUUUUCCCCCAGAAGCAUUCAGGAGUUAAUUUUUUCAUGACAUAAUGCAGCUCUGAGGACCACUAUACUUCUAUACUUGCUUAAUUAUGUACAUUCUAUAUUACCGUUGCAUACUGUACUGUUGAUUCUUUUGUGCUCUUCUCUUUGCUUUUGCAGUGACAUACACUUUGAGAUACUUCCCAGCUGUUGUUAAGUAUGUAAUUGCUGUUGCCAAGUAUGGACAUGCAAACAUUGAUUUUGAUGUUACCUGUGUCAUUACAUAAGGGCAAAAGCUGCAUAUGCCUCCCACCUGAACUUUUCAAAAGGAAAAUACAAUCACCAUCUUUGUCAGUUCAAAGUAUAUGAGGAUUCACUUCUCUUUGCAGUGAAAAUGGAAAAGUAAAAAGCAAGAUUUUAUUUUUAUUGAUUCUUCAUUUUUGUUAUCGGCUGGUUUUCCUCCUAAUGGUUUUCUUUUGUGCUGGUUGUAAACAAGGAGCUUAACUAACAGUAGCAGGAGUUAGAAAUCUUUUUGCCACAAAGCAGGUAAAUUAGAGAGAACAGCAGAGUACAGCAUGCUUCUCGAGAAUGCAGCUCCAAACUGCCCUGCAGAAGACUCCUGCCCCACUGGGACUCUUCAGCUAAUUAUAAAAGCAGAUGUGCUGAGGCAAGUGAAAUCCCUGGCUUUGUUUCUAUGAUGAUAUUUGCUAACAUCUUACAAACUUAAAGGAGAAACACAUGAACCUUAUUAUACCCACCAUAAAAUUAAUUCAAAUACAUAAUGCACCUAAAAGUAUUAUUUAGUGUUAGGAUUAAUUCUUCAAUUAAAGUGUAUAUUGAUAUGAAUCAUUACAGACAUAAUAUUUAUGCGGGGCAUUUUAUAGGAAACACCACAUAAGUACAUGGGCAUCAUAAAAAAUGAUGUUCUUACUUUAUAAAUAGAUGGUGUAAAUUGUCCACUGUUUUGUAGUGACCAUGAACAGGGAUUUGAGCCUUCAGAUACAGUAUGUGGCUUGAUGUGCUAAUUUUAAGGUCCAUGGGCAAUAAUGUAUAUAUUAUUUAAAGGCAGAAAACAAAAAGAACUUAUAGAAUUACUUUAUGGAAAAGAUGUAAACUUUGAAAAAUUAAGGUACUAUGUUAUAUUUGUCUUGUAUAAAUGAGUAUAUUCCCAUAUGAACAGCAUUUUCUAACAUUCAAACAUGGUUACAAAUUAGUCUCCCUGAUGUCAGCAUGCUUCCAGAAUAAUUUUGUAUUACUAUUGUGACACAUGUGUGCUUGGUGGGCAACUUCAGGGCUCAUUCAAUGGUGUUUCUGCUCAGUGCCUCUGGGUAGCACUGUAUCUAAUUGCAUCGUCUCUUCUUCCCU